CCUACGGGUGGCAGCAGUGAGGAAUAUUGGUCAAUGGACGCAAGUCUGAACCAGCCAUGCCGCGUGCAGGAAGACGGCUCUAUGAGUUGUAAACUGCUUUUGUACGAGGGUAAAUCUCGAUACGUGUAUUCGGCUGAAAGUACUGUACGAAUAAGGAUCGGCUAACUCCGUGCCAGCAGCCGCGGUAAUACGGAGGAUCCAAGCGUUAUCCGGAUUUAUUGGGUUUAAAGGGUGCGUAGGCGGUUUGAUAAGUUAGAGGUGAAAUACCCGGGCUCAACUCGGGAACUGCCUCUGAUACUUUCGAGCUAGAGAGUAGUUGCGGUAGGCGGAAUGUAUGGUGUAGCGGUGAAAUGCAUAGAGAUCAUACAGAACACCGAUUGCGAAGGCAGCUUACCAAUCUACAACUGACGUUGAGGCACGAAAGCGUGGGGAGCAAACAGGAUUAGAUACCCGAGUAGUC
rnacentral:rRNA from 1 species